UUUAACCAAUUUUAGCCUUUUGAAUCAUUUGACCCUUUGAGUCAAUUGUUUUGUUACCAACUGUAUUUGGAUUGGUUGGAAAGAUAGAUAAGUGAUUAAGUCAGAUCAACAGUAAAACUGUCAAAUGUGAUAAAUCCUUUGAUGGUCUUUUCGCACUUGCAUUUUGUCUUUACUCUUAUCAACAACACUCUUCACAUCAUGACCAUCUUUUAAUUGUUGCCUUAUAUCACUUUGAUUAUCUUGGUUAUAACACUAAUCUUGCUUUUGGUUUUAAUGUCAACUCUAAUUUAAAGUGAUAGUCCAAGGAAAGUUACAACCAGUAUUGAUUUACCUUUACCAUUAACAUUCAAACUUCAAAGGUUAAUGGUGAUUGAGUUUUCCAAGCCCAUGAGAAAUCUGAACAUUUCAAUAGUUAGUCAAUAAUCAACUGUCGAUGUAAUCUUGUGAAACAAACGAAACAUCAAAUGUUGAAACAUUUAACAUUAACUUUAAUCUACAGUUAAAUUACUAUUGUAAAAUAAUUGAUUGAUAAAAAGUCAACAAGCCAAGUAUGAAAUUAAAUUGUCAAAGCACGAGACUGGAGAGGAUGACAAUUUUAAGAUAAUCCGAAAGAAGGAAGAUAAAGAUAAAGAAGAUGAUGAUAAAAUGAAGGAUCAAGUGGAUUAGAUGACAAUCAAGUUUCCUGUUCAUCUGAAAAUUAACAUAAGACUGCCAUUGAUUGACAUGGUUUAGCUAAUCUUGUGGUUUUAUUUUUUCAUUCAGCAAAACCUGAACAAAAGCAACUGAUUAACGCUUUGAAUUGGAGUGACUGUUCAAUUGUCAAGCAAUAAUAGAAAGGUUUUCAUUUGAAUGACAUCUUUGUGUACCACUAAGCUGAACGAAUAAAAAUAAUAGGAAUGCAAACAGUCAAAAUUUUGGUCUAUUGUUGGCUGAUUUGAAAAAUUUCAAUCUGAAUGGUCAACUGAAAGGAAAGGAUUGGACUCGCCAUCAAUGAUGCAGAUGCAAUGCUGAUUAAAAAACAUUUCAUAGACUUUACAAGGAUAAAAAAAUAUACAUUUUUCGUUUGGUUUUUCAUCAAUCAUUCCAACAACAAAUUGAAUUGGUCCUGUGCUAACUAUUCAAGAAUUGAUUUCAACAGACUUUAACUGUCCAUAGAAACCGUCACGUGGAUUUGGCCCAUUCGACAUCCAAGUCCAUCAUUAAAUCUGUGAUUCGAAAUUGUAAAAGCUCAAGAAUUCCUCAUGUCUAGUCAUUGACAAACUCAAUCUUUUGCAAUACCACAAACCAUUAGACUAUCCACCAAUGAUUGAACCAAUUUGGAAUUGCUAUAGAAACCAAACUAAUUAUCAAACUAUUCUGUAAAUUCUUGAACAAAACAUUGAAUUCGAAUAAGUUGUUUGUAAUCCACAAAACUAUUCAAUUCCCAAUUAACAAACUAUGUAAUUUAUCUGAGAAACGGCAAUUUAUAAAAAUAAAAAUA